UCUGUAGAAGUUGAAGAGAACCCAAUGACACAACAACUUCUGUCCUCACAGUACAGGAAUUCCCACACAGAGCAGCAGAACCCAUAUCUAUGGGAAGCUUCUGCUUUUACUGUUCCUCACACAGCUUACAGAUAAAUCAGCAGCAAAAUCCAUCACAUUGCUAAUUCACUACCCUAUUACUUUAAGGACUUAACUAAUCCAAAGGUAAUUUGAAAACACUCAAACUUAAUAGACUUCAAGACUAAACAAUGAACAGGCCUUAAGCAUACAGAUUUUUACUGAAGGACUUUUCUCAGCCUAUGGAUUUUCAAAUGCCAGCGAACAUAAAGUAUCUGAUUCGAGUAUUCAGAAUAUAAAUUCUUCUUAAUGUAUUUACAUAACUCUCAUUAGAGUUCAUUUGAGUAAUCAAAGAGAGCCCCUAAGAGUCAAGGUAGGGGGAAAAGAGGGAAAGCAGGGAACAGACUGAAUACUUGCCAUUGCUUUGUUUUCCUUGAUGUUUAAAGCUCUCUUUUCUAAAAACAGGGAGCCCUUUUCUUCAGAAUCAGAAUCUGAAUCUGGAGCAGGCAUCACAUCUUCAGGAAGAGAUUCCACUUCAGCCUUCUUCCUUUCUGAUCUUCGAGGUGGAAACUUCAUGGCAACUUUGAGAGGAACAGUGCAUUUCCUCAGUCUGAGAGGUGCCUCUCUGACACCAUUUUCCUCUGAAUCAGAUUCCAGUUUCUGUUAACAAAUUCCAACAAAAAGACAAAACAGAAUGAGCUGCUCUGCAAUU